UGAACGCUGUGUCUGUUGAUCUGCAGUGCAACACACAGUAACGGGUGACACCGAGUUCUUUGAGUUUCUGGUUUUAGAUCAGAUCAUUUGACAUGUUUGGGCAUAACAAAGGGUGUCAACCUCAGCCAUUGCCAGGAGGAUGUCCACCAGGCCCUGCCCCACCACCUUCAUGUCCACCUCAGCCUGGUCCAUUUGGAUGCUGUCCAGUGACCUCACCUUGUGGAGAAUCUGGAGGUCAUGGUUACGUGGUAGGGCCUGGUUGCAGAUCUACUCAAGGACAUGGCGAUGGCCACGGUCACGGGCAUGGGCAUCAUGGUCACAGACAUCAUGGUCAUGUCAUUACUUUGUCUGGGGUUUGCACAGUUGUUAUGCCAGUCUCAUCAAUAUUCCAUAUGUCAUUUACAGUUAAGUUGUGUCUCUUUAACACUUCAUCAAAUUUUUUGAAAAACAUUCCACAAUUGUUUUUAUUAAAACUGGUGGCCGAUGUCAGACUUGAAGCUUCGGGACAUCUAAUGGACAAAGUUGGGUUUCUUUUCAUGUAGGCUAAGAACCAGUCUGGUCCAGCCCUCGAGAAUUUGCCCCAUGAUAUUUGGAUCAAUGUUUCACUGCAAGCUGAUAUGCCAGUUGUUUUACCUGUAAUUUUAAUCACAAAAUAUGUCAAUAUUUCUGAUAUAAUAUAUUUUAAAUUGCCACCAUUACAAUUUUCUAACUUUCCCUUGUCUUAUCCUUUAUCAAUUCUUAUCUGCUUACCUCACGUGGACAUAGUCCAUAAAAUGCAUCUGCAGCCCUUAUCAGGUAUUCUGUUAAUUGUUUCUCUAGUUCAUCAGUGAAGACCUUCUUUCCACUAUGGUAUCCUACAUGUGGGAGUUUCCUUGAUCCCUGAUCUUCCAGAUUUUUAAUUUCUUUACAAGAUCUGUGCAAAGUGACAUGGGAAAUGCCAUACAAUUUUGCCAGAGAUCUGUUGGACUUUCCCUGAUUUCUAACAUCAUUUGAUGCUCCAUCCAAAAUACUGAGGCACCCCUCAGUCAGUCUUUCUUUUCCACAACCUAAGCAUACUGUAAUUCAAAGAAAAAAAAAAAAGAGUUAAAGUAAUAGUGGGGUAAGUUGUAACAUUUCCAUGGUUGUUACAACUAACCCAGACUGUUGCUGUUACAAUUUACCCAGACUCCUAUAGCCACGAUAUGGCUAACAUUACAGCUAACGGCUAAAACAUUAACACUAAAGACAUGCAGAGAAUAUAUCUCCAUAGACAUACAAAUAACAUGAUUUAAGUUCGAUGAGUUUAACUGCAAAGCAGAUAAUGCUAUCAGGAAAUUAAAUAAAGCAAGAAAAAAAAACAACAACUUACUUUUUGACUUACAAAUUAGUUUUUUUCUUCUUAAAUUGUCUGUGUUUGUCAAAGGGUGCUGACUUUUCACAAGUGAUAGAAGAACUGAAUUGGGCAUGUACAGAAUGAAUCACAUGAUUUGAAACUUAGCCCUGAUUGGAGAAAUUAGAAGUGUUACAACUGACCCAUGUUAUGACUAUCCCCGGUCUCCCCUAAUCUCUUACUUUACUCAUUACUUUAAAAAAGUAAUCAGUAGUUACACGUUACAGCCCAUCUCUGUUGGGGACACACUGUGGGACAGCACAAGGACCCCAUAUAAGAUAAUGAGGAUUAUUCUGAACGUGAAAUUAUGCGAAGCUAUACUCUUGUAGAGAGCAGAAUAAGUUUAAUCUAAAUGACCCUGAAGUUAAUACACCUGUUCUACAUUGUUUUAAAACAUUUUAAUGCAGAGAACUUAAAAUAAAAAAAGCUUUCAUCACCGUGCUUGAUCAGG